rnacentral:snRNA from 1 species
GUGCUCGCUUUGGCAGCACAUACACUAAACUUGGAACGAUACAGAGAAGAGUAGCAUGGCCCCUGUGCAAGGAUGAUACGCAAAUUCAUGAAAUGCUCCAUAUCUUU